AGAGGAAUCUGGAUCAGUGGC
rnacentral:miRNA from 1 species